ensembl:lncRNA
UUGGGUAGGUGAUGAUGUGACCAGAUGUGUAUUGGGUAGGUGAUGAGGUGACCAGGUGUGUAUUGGGUAGGUGAUGAGGUGACCAGGUGUGUAAGGAAAGAUAAUCAGGUGUGUAUUGGGUAGGUGAUGAGGUGACCAGGUGUGUAUUGGGUAGGUGAUGAGGUGACCAGGUGUGUAAGGAAAGAUAAUCAGAUGUGUAUUGGGUAGGUGAUGAGGUGACCAGGUGUGUAUUGGGUAGGUGAUGAUGUGACCAGGUGUGUAUUGGGUAGGUGAUGAGGUGACCAGGUGUGUAGGGAAAGAUAAUCAGGUGUAUUGGGUAGGUGAUGAUCUGACCAGGUGUGUAUUGGGUGGGUGAUGAGGUGACCAGGUGUGUAUUGGGUAGGUGAUGAGGUGACCAGGUGUGUAGGGAAAGAUAAUCAGGUGUAUUGGGUAGGUGAUGAUCUGACCAGGUGUGUAUUGGGUGGGUGAUGAGGUGACCAGGUGUGUAUUGGGUAGGUGAUGAGGUGACCAGGUGUGUAGGGAAAGAUAAUCAGGUGUAUUGGGUAGGUGAUGAUGGUCAGGACUGGUGAUGGUGUAGGGGGACUGGUGAUGUGGUCAUAACACACUUAAUCACUUCAUCACUUACUGACUAACAGGUGUGUGUAUUUUGGAAUCUAGAUUUAGUCUUGGUCGUUUGAUGAAAAUGCACAAUAAAUAUAGAAUCAUUUACAUUUUAGCUAAUUUGAGUAUU